rnacentral:rRNA from 1 species
AUUGAACGCUGGCGGCAUGCUUUACACAUGCAAGUCGAACGGUAACAGGCCUUCGGGUGCUGACGAGUGGCGAACGGGUGAGUAAUGCAUCGGAACGUACCCAGAGGUGGGGGAUAACGCAGCGAAAGCUGUGCUAAUACCGCAUGUGAUCUGAGGAUGAAAGCGGGGGACCGAGCAGCAAUGUUUGGCCUCGCGCCUUUGGAGCGGCCGAUGUCGGAUUAGCUAGUUGGUGGGGUAAAGGCCUACCUAGGCGACGAUCCGUAGCUGGUCUGAGAGGACGACCAGCCACACUGGAACUGAGACACGGCCCAGACUCCUACGGGAGGCAGCAGUGGGGAAUUUUGGACAAAGGGCGCAAGCCUGAUCCAGCAAUGCCGCGUGCGGGAAGAAGGCCUUCGGGUUGUAAACCGCUUUUGGCAGGAACGAAACGGUGUCCGCUAAUACCGGGCGCUAAUGACGGUACCUGCAGAAUAAGCACCGGCUAACUACGUG